rnacentral:rRNA from 1 species
AACGUAGGAGACAAACGUUAUCCGGAGUUACUGGGCGUAAAGGGCGUGUAGGCGGUCUGUUAAGUCUGGCGUGAAAGCUCUCGGCUAAACCGGGAGAGGUCGUUGGAUACUGGCAGACUUAGAGGACGGUAGAGGCGUGUGGAAUUCCGGGUGUAGUGGUGAAAUGCGUAGAGAUCCGGAAGAACAUCGGUGGCGAAGGCGCUCUGCUGGACCAUAACUGACACUCAGGGACGAAAGCUAGGGGAGCGAAUGGG